UCAGGACGAACGCUGGCGGCGUGCCUAACACAUGCAAGUCGAACGGACGAGGGGAGCUUGCUCCCCAAGUUAGUGGCGGACGGGUGAGUAACACGUGAGCAACCUGCCCUUCGGAGGGGGACAACAGCGGGAAACUGCUGCUAAUACCGCAUAAUGUAUCCUGGAGGCAUCUCCGGGAUACCAAAGAUUUUAUCGCCGAAGGAUGGGCUCGCGUCUGAUUAGAUAGUUGGUGGGGCAACGGCCCACCAAGUCUGCGAUCAGUAGCCGGACUGAGAGGUUGAACGGCCACAUUGGGACUGAGAUACGGCCCAGACUCCUACGGGAGGCAGCAGUGGGGAAUAUUGGGCAAAUGGGGGCAACCCUGACCCAGCAACGCCGCGUGGAGGAAGAAGGCUUUCGGGUUGUAAACUCCUUUGACGAGGGACGAUGAUGACGGUACCUCGAAAACAAGCCACGGCUAACUACGUGCCAGCCGCCGC
rnacentral:rRNA from 1 species